rnacentral:rRNA from 1 species
GACUAUGGCCAUGCCACCCUGAACGUGACCAAUCUCGUCUGACCUCGGAAGCUAAGCAGGGUCGGGCCUGGUUAGUACUUGGAUGGGAAACCACUGAGGAAUACCAGGUGCUGUAGGAG